GAUGAACGCUGGCGGCGUGCCUAAUACAUGCAAGUCGAGCGAACGGACGAGAAGCUUGCUUCUCUGAUGUUAGCGGCGGACGGGUGAGUAACACGUGGAUAACCUACCUAUAAGACUGGGAUAACUUCGGGAAACCGGAGCUAAUACCGGAUAAUAUUUUGAACCGCAUGGUUCAAAAGUGAAAGACGGUCUUGCUGUCACUUAUAGAUGGAUCCGCGCUGCAUUAGCUAGUUGGUAAGGUAACGGCUUACCAAGGCAACGAUGCAUAGCCGACCUGUGAGGGUGAUCGGCCACACUGGAACUGAGACACGGUCAAGACUCCUACGGGAGGCAGCAGUAGGGAAUCUUCCGCAAUGGGCGAAAGCCUGACGGAGCAACGCCGCGUGAGUGAUGAAGGUCUUCGGAUCGUAAAACUCUGUUAUUAGGGAAGAACAUAUGUGUAAGUAACUGUGCACAUCUUGACGGUACCUAAUCAGAAAGCCACGGCUAACUACGUG
rnacentral:rRNA from 1 species